rnacentral:rRNA from 1 species
CUGGCGGCACGCCUAACACAUGCAAGUCGAACGAAGUAGCAAUACUUAGUGGCAGACGGGUGAGUAACAUGUAGGUAUCUACCCUAUGGCCUGGAAUAACACGAGGAAACUUGUGCUAAUACCGGAUAAGUCUUUACAGAGAAAGCUUUAUGCACCAUUGGAUGAGCCUGCACUUGAUUAGUUUGUUGGUAGGGUAAUGGCCUACCAAGACUGUGAUCAAUAGCUGAUUUGAGAGGAUGAUCAGCCACAUUGGGACUGAGACACGGCCCAAACUCCUACGGGAGGCAGCAGUGGGGAAUCUUGCACAAUGGAGGAAACUCUGAUGCAGCGAUGCCGCGUGAGUGAAGAAGGCCCUUGGGUUGUAAAGCUCUUUCGUCGGGGAAGAAAACGACUGUACCCGAAUAAGAAGGUCCGGCUAACUUCGUGCCAGCAGCCGCGGUAAUACGAAGGGACCUAGCGUAGUUCGGAAUUACUGCGCUUAAAGAGUUCGUAGGUGGUUGAAAAAG